rnacentral:ncRNA from 2 species
UUACGUUCUCAGGGCGGGGUGAAAGUCCCCACCGGCGGUGACAGUCUUUUGGCUGAAGCCCGCGAGCGCCUCGCCAGGCUGGCGAGGGUCAGCAGAUUCGGUGCAACUCCGAAGCCGACGGUCAUAGUCCGGAUGAGAGAGAACGGGA